GACGAACGCUGGCGGCGUGCUUAACACAUGCAAGUCGAGCGGCGCGGCGAACGGGUGCGUAACGCGUGAGUAACUGCCCCCCUCUCUGGGAUAACAGUUGGAAACGGCUGCUAAUCCCGGAUAGUGGGGGAUGACUCGCGUCCUAUCAGCUUGUUGGGGGGGUAGUGGCCUACCAAGGCGACGACGGGUAGCCGGCCUGAGAGGGCGACCGGCCCCAUGGGGCUGAGGUAGGCCCCAGAGGCGUACGGGGGGCAGAGGGGGGAAAUAUUACGCAAUGGGGGAAACCCUGAUGCAGCAACGCCGCGGGCGGAAUGACGGCUUUCGGGUUGUAAACCGCUUUCAGCCAUGACGCGGUAGUGGCAGAAGAAGCACCGGCUAACUACGUGCCAGCAGCCGCGGUAAUAC
rnacentral:rRNA from 1 species